rnacentral:rRNA from 1 species
AGAGUUUGAUCCUGGCUCAGGACGAAUGCUGGCGGCGUGCUUCAUACAUGCAAGUCGAACGAGGUCCAACUGGUAGCAAUACCAGUGAAGACCUAGUGGCGAACGGGUGAGUAACACGUGAGGAACCUGCCCCGAAGACCGGGAUAACAGCGGGAAACCGCUGCUAAUACCGGAUACCCCCACCGGAUCGCAUGGUCUGGUGAGGAAAUGGAUUCCGCUUCGGGAGGGCCUCGCGGCCUAUCAGCUUGUUGGUGGGGUAAUGGCCUACCAAGGCGACGACGGGUAGCUGGUCUGAGAGGACGAUCAGCCACACUGGGACUGAGACACGGCCCAGACUCCUACGGGAGGCAGCAGUAGGGAAUCUUGCGCAAUGGGCGAAAGCCUGACGCAGCAACGCCGCGUGAGGGAUGAAUGCCUUCGGGUUGUAAACCUCUUUCAAGCAGGGACGAUAAUGACGGUACCUGCAGAAGAAGCUCCGGCCAACUACGUGCCAGCAGCCGCGGUAAUACGUAGGGAGCGAGCGUUGUCCGGAAUCAUUGGGCGUAAAGAGCUCGUAGGCGGUUUGGUAAGUCGGAUGUGAAACCUCCAGGCUCAACCUGGAGCCGCCAUUCGAUACUGCCAUGACUAGAGUCCGGUAGGGGCCCACGGAACUCCUGGUGUAGCGGUGAAAUGCGCAGAUAUCAGGAAGAACACCGAUGGCGAAUGCAGUGGGCUGGGCCGGCWCUGACGCUGAGGAGCGAAAGCGUGGGGAGCGAACAGGAUUAGAUACCCUGGUAGUCC